AAUCACUGUAAAAUAACAGCUGCCUGAGGUCUGAUGAGGAUAGAUCGUUUUAAUGUUUUGGUCUGAUCACACCUAGACUGGCCCUGAUAAGUUCUAAUUUCCUGAAAGUAAUCUCAAAGUCACUUUCCGGAACUUGGAGUUAAUCAGCAAGCUAGCUAGUUAGCUGGUUGGUUAGUUAGUUAGCUAACUCGCUAACAGAUAUUCAGCCCAAACUGAUAAAAUGCGCAAAAUAUUUUAUAAGAGUGCAUAGCCUUGAUUUAUUAAUUUGUUGGAGCAAUUUGUUGAUUUAAUUUGAAUGUUCUGUCUUUAAAAUGAAUGUUAGCUGGAUUUAACAAUAACAGUCCACAUCUAUACAGUUGUGGGGAUUUUUUUAAUUUUUAAAACAAUCCUUUUCAGGUGAACUUUGUUUUGUUUUGUUUUUUUCUGUUUAAUUCAAAUCAGAACUCUGGUUUGGACAUUUGAAAAGUGAAUGAUUUUUUAAUUGUGUGAAGUUGAUUUAUGUGGAUUUCGACAUAAAUACGUCGCACACAGUGAUGCUGGAAAAUAAUUUCUCUACAUUUUCAGUGCCAGGACAUGACGCUGUUGAAUCAUGUUGAACAGAAGGACAGACGGUCCAUGUUCUUACCGUCAGUAGGUGGCAGCACAGCCUCACUGUUUCAGCGCUGAGUGGAUGCUGGGAUUCCAGUAACAUUCAGAAGGAGAGCAGCAUUUGAACACAGCCCACUUUGAAACUUUCCCAGCUCAACCGCUUUCCUCAGAGUCAGAGAGUGAUGUUUGAGUACACACUCAUGAACUGCCGUGAGAUUUGCUCUGACAAUGAUCCUCCUACUUUAUAUUAGCUGUUGCUUACUUUCCCUUCCAGGUUCUUCGCUCGGCGACCGAGUCGUUCAGCUUCCGGCAAACAUCCUUAGAAACUCUGGAGAAGCUUCUGUGAUAACAUGUUCACAUCAAGUUCCCAACUAUGAUAAGAUCCUCUGGUAUAAACAAACCGAGGACCACCAGAUGCAGUACCUGGGGUACAUGAACGUGAACGACGGCUAUCCGGAAACUGGAGUGAAAGCGAAGAUAGACGGAGGAGCAACUGAAGGGAAAACCUGCAGCUUAACGAUGGAGGGAGUCGACAUGAGCAGCAGCGGCGUUUAUUUCUGUGCUGCUAGUCGGCACAGUGCUGCAUGUCUCUGCUGCUCAGCACAAAAACCUCCAAAACAGCAGAUUUCCUUCAUCUGAGGCCAGCAGCUGUAAGAUCACUGCACC